GACGCACAGUUUAUACCGUAGCUUGCUACACCAUAGACUGUGAGUUGCGAACGGGUGAGUAACGCGUAGGUAACCUGCCUAUUAGAGGGGGAUAACUAUUGGAAACGAUAGCUAAUACCGCAUAACAGUAUGUAACACAUGUUAGAUGCUUGAAAGAUGCAAUUGCAUCGCUAGUAGAUGGACCUGCGUUGUAUUAGCUAGUAGGUAGGGUAAAGGCCUACCUAGGCAACGAUACAUAGCCGACCUGAGAGGGUGAUCGGCCACACUGGGACUGAGACACGGCCCAGACUCCUACGGGAGGCAGCAGUAGGGAAUCUUCGGCAAUGGGGGGAACCCUGACCGAGCAACGCCGCGUGAGUGAAGAAGGUUUUCGGAUCGUAAAGCUCUGUUGUUAAGGAAGAACGAGUGUGAGAAUGGAAAGUUCAUGCUGUGACGGUACUUAACCAGAAAGGGACGGCUAACUACGUGCCAGCAGCCGCGGUAAUACGUAGGUCCCGAGCGUUGUCCGGAUUUAUUGGGCGUAAAGCGAGCGCAGCGGUUAGAAAAGUCUGAAGUGAAAGGCAGUGGCUCAACCAUUGUAGGCUUUGGA
rnacentral:rRNA from 1 species